GAUCAGAAAUAUUGAAAACGUAAAUUGCAUUCCAUGUACCGAAUAAUCGUUAUCAAUUUCGUUUCUACUGCGGUAAAAUCACUUUUCAUUUCUAUUUUUACGAUACGAUGCUAAAAAUUAGAUCAGAUUCUCCGACUUUUUCGGAACGUGGUAAUAUUUUGCCGCCAAAUAGCGAGUACUUUGUUUAGUGCUCAUUCGAAGUCGUUCUCGGCUCUUCUAUGUACGGGUUUCUUUUCGAUCUUUUCAGUCGGUGCUUUAUUUAAACUAUAGCUGAAACGAAAAUCGUAAAAAAACCAUCAAAAAACAGGUUACACACAAAAUAAACUCAAAUUGUUCAAAAUGGCCAAAGUGCAAAUAGGCAACGUUAUCGUUUUGGACAACCCGGCAUCAUUCUUGACACCGUUCCAAUUUGAAUUAACUUUCGAGUGUAUCGAAGAACUGAAAGAAGACUUGGAAUGGAAAAUGAUAUACGUAGGCUCAGCCGAGAGCGAAGAAUAUGACCAAGUCUUGGAUACAAUAUACGUUGGACCUAUACCUGAGGGGAGACAUAUGUUCGUUUUUCAGGCAGAUGCACCUGAUGUCACUAAAAUUCCUGUCGAGGAUGCUCUAGGUGUUACCGUUUUACUUUUAACAUGUAGUUACAGGGGUCAAGAAUUUGUCCGAGUAGGUUAUUUUAUUAACAAUGAAUAUUCUGAUCUUGAGCUUAGGGAGAAUCCUCCAGCAGUCCCACAGUUUGAUAAGGUCGUUAGGAAUAUUCUGGGAACGGAACCAAGAGUGACAAGAUUUAAAAUAAAUUGGGAUGAUUCAGAAACGCAGGACCAAUCGGGUGAAGAAGAACAAACCGAUGAACAAUCCCAACAGCAGUCCGAAUCUGUUGGCUUUACAGAAAAUAACAGCAGCCAUCCUAUGGAAGUUGUUUAAAUUACCAUAGAAGAGAAAGUUGAAUAAAGUUAAUAGGCUUAUGACAAGUGAAACCUUUCGGCUGAAAUAAUUGCAAGAAAAUUCUGCAGACAAUUCCCUAAGAGGAAUUACAAGAAAACAAUCUGUUGAAAUGUGCAUUGAAUCAUGGGAAAAGUGGUUUUGUGGCCAGAACGCGAUUCCAACCGAAACACGUUCAGGUGGAUUCAGGGACCGAUGUGGCCUAGGAAUACAGUUUAACUUG
rnacentral:misc_RNA from 1 species